rnacentral:lncRNA from 1 species
UACUGGUUGUCCUACUUUUAUGCUUUAUCCCAAAAAGCCGUGCUUCAAGGAAGAAAACAUAUUUUUAUCACGAUGCUUCCUCCAGCUGAGCAGACCCUACCUUUUAGCUUACAAGCAACAUGACAAUGAAGGUGAGGCUGUGACAUUAAGUGAUUUGUCAAGGAAAACACUACUAGGAAAUGUCGAAGUUGGAGCUCAAUCAGGAGAAAGAAGUCUAUGCCUUCAAGACUCAGAAACUAUACCACUACUUCACAAUGCACCCCAACCCCCAGUGGUCACUCUUACUUUGUCACCAUAUAAAUGUAAAUAAUUAUUGCCAUUGUUACUAUUAGUGAUUAAAAUAAUAAUAAAUUGACUUUUCCAGGUAGAGAAGAGUUGUUU